rnacentral:misc_RNA from 1 species
CUGAGUGUAAAAACUCCAAACCCAUGUGAACUUACCACUUGUUGCCUCGGCGCAAGCGUUCUGCCUCCUCCUUGGAGGGGCGGGAACUGCGCCGGUGGACUACUAAACUCUUGUUAAUAUUGGCAUUCUGAAUAAAAACUUAAUAAGUUA